UAUGGAAAUAUUCAGCUAUAAUUUGUUAUGUAAUUCGACAAAAGUUUUAAAAUACAUAUUUAGGGGCUAAUAGCAGAGGGCUGGGGAACUAAAUUCAUAAACAACUAACAAGUCUAGCCUAAUCGAACCAGCAAAAAAACAAAUUAAUCGAAAGUAUUAAACACCAGAAGUUUAUGCCUACUGGAAAAAAUAGGCAAGUCAAUUUAUAACCAGACAAGUGUUGGGUUAAUACAUAGUCGUGGUAAAUAAUAUAAUAUG